CAUCAUGCCCCUUAUGACCUGGGCUACACACGUGCUACAAUGGUGGUACAACGAGUUGCGAGUCGGUGACGGCGAGCUAAUCUCUUAAAGCCAAUCUCAGUUCGGAUUGUAGGCUGCAACUCGCCUACAUGAAGUCGGAAUCGCUAGUAAUCGCGGAUCAGCACGCCCGCGGUCCGAAUACGUUCCGGCCUU
rnacentral:rRNA from 1 species